AUCUGGUCGGCGUGAACGUGGCCUCGAUUUCCCAGCAACUGAACAAGGUUGGAUUCAGUGCAUCCCUCAAACAGGGCUGUGAGGUGUGUGGUCUGGUGCAAUAUGGCUGCUGUCGCAUCAUGCAGGUGGAGGCUGCACACUGGUGAUGGAUGAGAUCCCCCCCACCUCCCAAAAAAAGCGAUUGGAGUGUCCAGAAAAGCACUAUAUAAAUUCAUCAAGAGUGAGAUUGUGGGCAGCCUCUUCAGAUUUGCUGAUGCCUUCCUGGUAAUGUUUGGACUGAUCUAUGCACUACACCUCAACUAUCCCAGGGGACUGACCAACGCUUUUGAAUUCAUUCAAAAGAUUUUACUUUGUCUUGAAGAGGGUAAACUGUCACCCAAGUUACAGAGUCUUAAAAAUGAUUUGAUGCGAAUGUAGGAAUUUAUUGGAAAAAUGACUAAGGCCUGGCAGUUCCUCAGUAGUUCAAUGUAAUUUGGUUUUGUGAAAAUACUGGUUUAAAGGUUUCUGCAUUUUGUUCCCCACAAUGUGCAUUUAUUAGGAGUGUCACGAUUCUCCAAAUCCUCGAUUCGAUUACAUUUUCGAUUCUAAAGUCACGAUUCGAUUCUCGAUUUUUAACAAAAAAAAAAAUUUUAAAGCACAAGCUAUGCCAUUUUAAGACGUAUAUGCAAUAUAAUAACAUCUGACCUUUGUUCACUGAAUGUACACUAAAUGUGCACUGCUAAGACCUUUAAUAACGUUCUGCUUCACAUUAUUGUACAUGGUGGGCAUCACCGUAGCUGUGAGAUGCGUUCUACAUGGCAUUUCGUAGCGCGGUUCUAGCACGUUAAUUAAAUGCUGAAAACCGGAGUUUUCUGUCACUGAAUAAGGUCGCAUGUCCGCGGCUAUAAAUACUCCUAUCGCGCUUGUAAUUGCCUUUGCACGUGUUGAGUUGCUUGGAAGUUUUAAUCCAAAUGAAGACGGGAGAGUAGUUUGUGUUACACUUGUCGGUUUAACAGAUACAUCUAUGUUUUUGUGGUGCCUGCGGAGAUGCCCGGCCAUGUUAGUCGUGCUGCCGGUGGAAUAAUGUGGUAUAUGCACAUUGCAGAGCUUGCAAACUGUGUUUUUUUCUGUCGACAACACGAACGUUGUCAACAUAACUCACUGGAAAUCCAAAAUACUUCCACACCGGCGACUUCAGUGAAAGAGGAGGGGGUUCAAUUUCUUUCGAUGGGUCUCCAGUUGCCAUGCUGUCUCGUGGCUGUUGUAGCUGUUAGGUUGACGCGCAUGCGUGAGUUUUUUUCCGCUUGGCAAGUCAAGCUGCUGCUGACGUGACAUAGGGGCGGGGCAGCAUCGACGAUUCCAUUUUUUGAUUCGAUAAUCGAGAUUAAGCAUGAAUUUCGAUCGCGAAAUCGUGACACCCUUAGCAUUUAUUAAUGUUAUUUGUCAUUAAUACAGCUCUUGUCCUUAAGAGUUGUUAAGUACAGCUGGGUAGUACUUUUUUAGGGGUAGUACUGCUUUUCAGGUUUUAUCCUU